CGUGUUCCCCGUUAUGUGUACUGUAAAUCGAAAAACGUCAGUGUCCAACCGCCCGCUGCGGGGCGCGCGAGGUUCGCGAGCUCGCGGCAAACGCCGCUGCGGGGUAUCGGGCGAGCGGGGGGAGAGCCUGCCCCUAUUGCUUCGUGACGAACUCAGCAAGAAUGAUGCAGUCGUAUUUCUACAGCUUAUACACACAGCUAUCAAUUGUUGUUUUGCAUAUGUGGAGAGAAUGUAAUAUGACAUCCUCACGUUGAGCAUUGCUAUGUCCCAUCUGCUCCAGAACAGUCAACAAUACAGAAUGAGAUUUUGGCAGGAUCUAUUUCUGAGGUGCUAGUUCCUUUUUUGAUAGGCUGUGAGCUGAUGUCCCUAUUAGCAAGAUUUACCCCCACAUCAUGAGAAGAGAAGACUCCCUGGAAAAGACCCUGAUGUUGGGAAAGAUGGAGGGCACAAGGAGAAGGGGACGACA